rnacentral:rRNA from 1 species
GCUUACGGCCACACUACCUCGAGAACGCCCGAUCUCAUCUGAUCUCGGAAGCCAAGCAGGGUCGGGCCUGGUUAGUACUUGGAUGGGAGACCGCCUGGGAAUACCAGGUGCUGUAAGCC